rnacentral:rRNA from 1 species
UACGGAGGGUGCGAGCGUUGUCCGGAAUCACUGGGCGUAAAGGGCGCGUAGGCGGCCAUUCAAGUCAGCUGUGGAAUCUCCGGGCUUAACUCGGAACGGUCAGCUGAUACUGCUUUGCUAGAGUGCAGAAGGGGCAAUCGGAAUUCUUGGUGUAGCGGUGAAAUGCGUAGAUAUCAAGAGGAACACCUGAGGUGAAGACGGGUUGCUGGGCUGACACUGACGCUGAGGCGCGAAAGCUAGGGUAGCAAACGGG